GAUUUGGAAUCAUCACAUAUUCCUCUGAAGCUGAAGCCUACACAGUUAUCAGGGAGAUGAAUGAGAAGAUUGUGGGAAGGAAGCAGCUGAUUAUUACUCUGUCUAAAACAAAACAGGAACUAGCAGAGCAGAAGAUCAGGAAUGGCUGGAAAAGAAGGAUGAGUUUAACCGGAGACUCAAAGAGGAACGACUAGCCACAAAUGGAUCCAGCAGAAAUCUUCCUUUGCCUAUGUCAGGAGGAUUCCCCAGUCGAGGAAUAUGCUGAGGUAUUCAUGGACCUGUGUAACCAGGUCAACUUUGGAGAGAAGGCCUUAAAGGACAUAUUCAGGCAUGGACUAGAAAACAACCUGCGCUACUUAAUGCCGACUAGCCGGGAGAUAGGAUCGUUGUCGGAUUUUGUCAACUUAGCGUUGCUCCUGGGCGACAGAAGCCGGCCUUAAACAUUUUUGGGGGGGGCAGCAAGCAUCGGGGUCCGUGGGCUACAGAGCGGAACCAGCCACGGACGCCCGAAUGCCCUACAGUGCCUAUGUCCAGCCCAGUCCCGUCGGCCUCACCAGCCGAACCGACCGGGUCGCCGGAACCAGAUGAGCCAAACAGGUCGCCGGAACCAGCCAAACCAGCCGGAUCGCCGGAACCAGCCGGACCAAUCGGACCAGGUUAGUCUCAGAGAGGAACUGUCUCUCUCACAUCUAAUCAGCAGUCCACUCCUGGCUGGCUCACCAUGAUGUUGCACACACAGAAGAGGCGGAGACUUCUGGUGGCACAUAUAUUGUUUUAUUGCUGAAAAAGAACUGUAAAAACACAAACAAAGAUAGAAAUUAGUUAUCUUUCAACUGUGUAUCAGUGACUGCCAGAGUGGCUUCUUCAUAUAUCAAUGAAGCUCUACUGUAUGUUCACAAACUCACUUUGCGCAAUCUAUUGACAACACAUCAAAAGAAAAUGAAAAUAUAUUCCUGAAUACUGUCUGUAACACAUUAACAUUUUCAUGGCAUCAGACAGACAAUAAUACUCCAUACUCAAUAACCAUACACAAAUGGUGUAUAAGCACUUUGUUUCCUUUUUAGUAGGCUAUUUCUCUUUAUGUGCUCUGUUGUAAACAAUCUGUAUCAGCAAUUUAGUUGUCCCUUCCCCAUGACAGAUGCACAGAACACAACUGUAACAAUAAAUAACUCUUUCAUAACAACGAGUGAUUAUAAUUAUAUUUUCUGACAUUAGGCACUUAAGUCGUAAUGCAUCACACGGCCCCCACCAGCGCAGUCGUGUCGGCCGCCUCCUAGCCGCGAUUGCGCUAUCCAUCGCGCGGGUGCAGCCGGCCGUACCUCACCCGUUUAAUUGAUCUGUGUAAUUAUACACAUUUAUCAAACUAACACAUAUAACUAAUGUAUAAACAUUUUAUGAACACAAACUGUGAUGCCACAUCACUCAUCUUACCUGUAAAAACACAAAGAUAUAAAUUAGUUAUCUUUCAACUGUGUAUCAGUGACUGCCAGAGUGGCUUCUUCACGUAUCAAUGAAGCUCUAUGUCCUGCGGCUCACGAUCACCCUCUAGUGUCACCCGUCAGCGUCUACAGGUCUAAGUGAUGUUCAAGUUCGCAUCAUUGCACAGUAUUAUAUACAAAUACAUUUGCAUAUACAUUUAAUGCAAGAACCAUAUUUAACAAAUAAUAACUAAUAAUACUAAUGAGAAACAACACAUACAUGACUACUUGAAUCCAUAUCACUACACCUUUUACAAAGGAGAAGACGAACUUCUGAGGUAAAUAUUUCCUGAAAUGUUUCCUAACUUAUAUUUACACAAAUAAGGCAAAGUUUUGACACAGAAAUGUUGGCUAUUUUACUCAAUAUUAACUUUAGACACUGUCUAUGGACGAUGAAGUGGUUUAGUACAACGGAAUGCGUGUCGCCUUUAAAUCGCUCUUGCACGUCAAAUAACUGCCUUUUACAAAGGAGAAGAUGAACUUCUGAAGUAAAUUACUCUUGAAACAUUUCUUAACUUUUAUUUCCACAAAUAAGGCAAAGUUUUGUGACAGAAAUGUUGGAUAUUUCACUCUAUAUUAACUUUAGACUCUGAGGUAAAUUACUCAUGAAACGUUUCCUAAUUUAUAUUUACAUAGAUGCUGCUAACCUUGGGGCAGUGGUGGCUCAAGUGGUUAUGUUGUUGAUCAGAGGAUCACUCUGUCACU